GUCGGGGAAUCAUAGGUCCGUCUGAAUCGAGCUGCAGUGCAGAGCCUGAAUGGGGGGCUUGGCCCCGGGCCAGUGUCGUCAAAAUUAGCUCUCUGUUCAAUGAUAUGCAGUCAGCCAGUGGACGCGGUAUCGUCGGGUCCUGACGCCCCAGUCCUGCAGCCUUGUAUGGGGUGUAAGAACCCCCACAAGGCUGCUUACCACCGCUGGAGCCUUUUUCUGUGCACACGAGCGAUUUGGGGGCAACAGCGGGCGAAAAAGCAAUUUAAAAGGACAACAAGAAGAAAGGCUUUAUCUGUUUCUGCUUCAAGUGUGACACCAACAGGUGCAAUGGGGGAUCCCAAGAGCACUGACAGCUGUGUUCCUGGCCCUGGUGGCGCAGAGAAGGACUGCCAUGAAGAAUCAACAUUCCUUCUGUGUGAUGUAGGAUAGAGAAUGGCCCUGAGGAGGAAAUUCUAUCCUCAUGUAUAUUGUUUAUUUCCUAAAUCAUGUAUAUCCUUAUUUUUUAUGGUUAUGGCGUGUGGUACAGGUGAAUUAUUAUGACGCUGGGGUUUUUUCCCCCAUCUAUGUGAUUAAUAAUAUUUUAGAAAAUCCUGGGACUCUAAGCCUUGAUGAUAUGAUCUUUGGAGGGGAGCGGCGGUAAAGACAUUCAGCACCUUAAGACAGAUCUGACCGACUGGAGCUUCACUAAAGACCCACGUGUCUGUGUUUGCAAACUCCACAGCGGAUCCCUCGCGGCGGCAGCAACAGCACGUCUUCCACUUGUCCACUUCUAAUUUGCACGGCUGUGAUCUUUCAUCCACCUCAUUGUUCAUACUGCAAUUCCUGUAAACAAACACACAAAGGGUUAAUCUACACAUCAAUGUUCUGUAUACAUGCAUUUACAUGGGACAAUACUGUAAACAUGCCAAACACUAGUCGACCGAUAUGGGCUUUUCUUCUUUCUUUUUUUAAUUGUAUUUUUAUUGGCCGAUACCAAUGAGGGAAUUUACAAUUGUGAUUUCCUGGCCGGGAAAUGUCACGGAAGUUUAUCAGAUCUUCAGAAAGCGGAGAUUUCUUUAAGAGAAUAUACAUUUUUCUCUUUAUGCACUGCUCUAAAUUAUUAAAUAGGCUAGAAAUUGCUCAAUAAAAUUAUUUUUUAAAUAUCCUUGUCCAGUAAUCUUGAACGACUAAAAAAGUCAGGGUAGUAAAUAAACCCUACACAAAGUUGCUGAAUUUAAAUGAACACUUAUUUUACAUGAUUAUAAAUUCCCUGAAACUGAGCAAUAUUGUAUAGACUCUUGUGGGAUUUUAAAACUGACCCAAGGAGUUUCUAGCACUUAUGUUAAGGGAAUAUUCCGGGUUCAAUACGAGUUAAUCUCAAUCGACAGCAUUUGUGUCAUAAUGUAUAUUACCACAAAAAUUUAUUUUGUCUCGUCCCUCCUUUUCUUUAAAAAAAGCACAAAUGUGUGUUCCAGUGAGACACUUACAAUGGAAGUCAAUGGGGUCAAUCUGUAAACAUUAAAAUACUCACUGUUUCAAAAGUAUAAACACAAGACAUAAACAAUAUGUGUGUUAACAUGAUUUUAGUGCGAUAAAAUUAGGGAUAUAUCAGCGUUGUGUCGUUUUCCAGAACGCAUGUAAACCAUGUAAUAUGUCGUCAUGACAACAAAGUUCUAAUAUUAGAUAUAACUUUACACAGAAAAGGUUUCUAAGCGAUUUUAUCACACUAAAAUCAUGUUAACAUGCAUAAUGUUUACGACUUGUGUCUAUGCUUUUAAAUUAGUAGAUAUUUUAGCCUUUACAGAUUGGCCCCAUUGACUUCCAUUGUAAGUGUCUCACUGUAACUGCAACUUUUUUUGCUUCUUUAUUUAAAACUAAACAAGGGAUGAGUCAAAAUAAAUUUUUGUGGUGAUCAACAUUAUGCCACAAAUGCUUGACUUGUGUUGAACCCGGAAUAUUCCUUUAAUCGACAAAUUAUUGGGCGUCGUCGACAAUCUCAAAAUUGCCAAAUGUUGGGCCGACCAAUAUAGACAGUACUGUGCAAAAGUUUUAGGGACUUGUGAAAAAUGUUGCAUAGUGAGGAUGUCUUCAAAAAUAAUGACAUAAAUAGUUUUCAUUUAUCACUUAAUGUCAUACAAAGUCCAGUAAACAUAAAAAAGCUAAAUCAAUAUUCGGUGUGACCACCUUUGCCUUUAAAACAGCCCCAAUUCUCCUAGAUACACCUGGACACAGUUUUUCUUGGUUGUUGGCAGAUAGGAUGUUCAAGCUUCUUGGAGAAUUUUCCACAGUUCUUCUAUCUAUUUCGGCUGUCUCAAUUGCUUCUGUCUCUUUAUAUAAUCUCAGACUGACACAAUGUUCAGUGGGGGCUCUGUGGGGGCCAUGACAUCUGUUGCAGGGCUCCCUGUUCUUCUAUCUAUUUCGGCUGUCUCAAUUACUUCUGUCUCUUCAUAUAAUCUCAGACUGACUCGAUGUUCAGUGGGGGGCUCUGUGGGGGCCAUGACAUCUGUUGCAGGGCUCCCUGUUCUUCUUUCUAUUUCGGCUGUCUCAAUUGCUUCUGUCUCUUUAUAUAAUCUCAGACUGACACGAUGUUCAGUGGGGGACUCUGUGGGGGCAAUGACAUCUGUUGCAGGGCUCCCUGUUCUUCUAUCUAUUUCGGCUGUCUCAAUUGCUUCUGUCUCUUUAUAUAAUCUCAGACUGACACGAUGUUCAGUGGGGGGCUCUGUGGGGGCCAUGACAUCUGUUGCAGGGCUCCCUGUUCUUCUAUUCUAAUCUUUUCUAUUUGCAAAAGUAAUCUUUGGGAGUCUAACAUUUAUAUUUCCUACUGACACACUAAAGCUGAAGAUAUACAUAACCAUCUUAAGACAAAUGUUUUUGUGAAACAUGACUUUUGCACAGUACUGUAUAUACAAUAUAUAUAUAUAUAUAUAUAUAUAUAUAUCGUCUGUCACUACCAAACACAUACAGACAUCCAAACACUUCAGUUUCACAAUGUCCUUGCCAGAAAACGCUUCGAUUCGUCCUAUUUGUCUUCAUCACUAAACAACGUCAAUCAAUACUCACACUUUACAGUAUUUACUGAGGCUAAGAGUCCCCACUUCUCAUGCAGUUACUAGAAAAAGCUACGGAGUUCAUCAUUUUUAUUUUAUUUUUGUAGAAUUUUUGCUUUUUUUUGUUUUGUUGCUUUGUUAGUAUAUUAAUGUGUAAUCAUGUACGUUGUGAUAUAGAAAUAGCUGUAGAGACGCAUUGUUUCCUUGUGGUAAGUGACUGAGAUGCUGCCACGGAUUUGAGACACUGAUGAAUGGUGCUAUUUUGGACUUUUAUCUGCUCCUUGGUAAGGAAGCUCAGAUGGUUUUUAUUUUAUGUUUUCGUGUUGGGAGGUGUUGGCUCUUUGUUGUCUGGUUGUCGUAACUCGGAUCGGAUUGACUUUUCUCCCCUUGUUGUUUUCCGUGCGGCUUUCUCAUUGGACAGAAAACGGAUUUGUCGAAGAGUUGGCGUUUUUUGCCUUGGACAUGAUCAUUUGCAAAAUUACAAAACCGUAGACAGUCGGAGCAAUCACAAAACUGCAAUUAUUAACACUAUUUACCCGUUAAUGUAAAGGUUUAAUUCAAGAAGUAGUGACAAUUCCUGGCACUAGUCACUUCUAGGGUCCCUUGUGAAAUGAAUUUUUAUGGGGUUUUUUAAGCAAUUGCUUCCUUACAGUUAAAGUGUAAUUUUACCAUGCAUAAUAUACAGUCAACUAUAAAUAAGCCAUUUGUAGGUUUAAUCUCCCCAAAACAUCCCGACCAGCUCGACACAGCAACAUUGACUCAAUCAACGAAUGACAGGAUUAGUCUUCAUAUGUCGCAAGUGGCACAGUAAUUACACACUUUACCUUUAAAUACAUCAAGGACACAUUCAAAUUGUAAUCACUGCAAAACAUGGAGGUGUUGCUGUUGUAGGUUGCUGUGCACAGUCGCAGGUGAAGGUGUUUUAUAUAGUGUACAUACCAGGGCAGCUGUAUACUCUGCACCAGCCGGGAAUAUCUGAUAAAUAAAAUCACAAUCAUCCGUUUUGCACACAGGGUCAUUUGAUGUAUUUUCUAGGGCAUCAAAACCAACAGUCUCAACGACUGUUUUAAAGAAUGGUUUUGUAAAUGACUUAUAUUAGUUUUAGGAUACAAACCAAAAGCUUUAUAUUUAUUCUUUUGGGUGAUUCAUUUAAGUGGCAAGGUAUCAUCACUCGGUAUUUGCAGUUUUGUCUUUGCUUCCAGUUAACACAUUAACAAUCCUAAUUCAAAGACCAACUGGAAAGCCCACGUUAGUUUUGUCGUCUUCCAUAUUUUUCCACUCUAGUGGGGAACUUCCCAGCUUGCUCUAGUCUUUCCUUAUUGCUGACAGCAUAUCCACUGCAUGCUCUUUGCUCUUGGUUUUGUUUUUGAUCUGAAUCAUUGUACUUGCAGUUUCCUUACGUAGAAUAGGUAUGCCAACUUUGUUGUAAAUAGCCAGUGAAUUAUAGAAUGUUGAAUUACUCUGUUAUAACUGUGUAUUAUUGGUGUACAAACCUGAAGUCUAGGCUUGUGAACUUUAUAAUGAUUCACUAGUAUUUCAUGACAUUUUGCAACUUAAGCUGUAGUUGAAUAAAUAUGCAAGCUCUCACAA